CUAAGCCAGACCUCACUGCCGCCCUCAGGGACAUCCGGGCUCAGUAUGAGACCAUCGCGGCUAAGAACAUUUCUGAAGCUGAGGAGUGGUACAAGUCGAAGGUGUCAGACCUGACCCAGGCAGCCAACAAGAACAACGACGCCCUGCGCCAGGCCAAGCAGGAGAUGAUGGAAUACCGACACCAGAUCCAGUCCUACACCUGCGAGAUUGACGCCCUGAAGGGCACUAACGAUUCCCUGAUGAGGCAGAUGCGGGAAUUGGAGGACCGAUUUGCCAGUGAGGCCAGUGGCUACCAGGACAACAUUGCGCGCCUGGAGGAGGAAAUCCGGCACCUCAAGGAUGAGAUGGCCCGCCAUCUGCGCGAGUACCAGGACCUGCUCAACGUGAAGAUGGCCCUGGAUGUGGAGAUUGCCACCUACCGGAAGCUGCUGGAGGGAGAGGAGAGCCGGAUCAAUCUCCCCAUCCAGACCUACUCUGCCCUCAACUUCCGAGAAACCAGCCCUGAGCAAAGGGGUUCUGAGGUCCAUACCAAGAAGACGGUGAUGAUCAAGACCAUCGAGACACGGGAUGGGGAGGUCGUCAGUGAGGCCACACAGCAGCAGCAUGAAGUGCUCUAAAGACAGAGACCCUCUGCCACCAGAGACCGUCCUCACCCCUGUCCUCACUGCUCCCUGAAGCCAGCCUUCUUCCAUCCCAGGACACCACACCCAGCCUCAGUCCUCCCCUCACAGCCUCUGACCCCUCCUCACUGGCCAUCCCUCGUGGUCCCCAACAGCGACAUAGCCCAUCCCUGCCUGGUCACAGGGCAUGCCCCGGCCACCUCUGCGGACCCCAGCUGUGAGCCUUGGCUGUUGGCAGUGAGUGAGCCUGGCUCUUGUGCUGGAUGGAGCCCAGGCGGGAGCGGUGGCCCUGUCCCUCCCACCUCUGUGACCUCAGGCACUAGCCUUUGGGGCUCUGGAGAGAAACAAUAAAGAGAUUCACACAC
rnacentral:lncRNA from 1 species